GUAUGAGAUGACAUUUUCUUUUCCAUAGCUGAUUAGUUUCCCUUUUGCACUUCUUAUUUAGCGAAUGGAAGAACUUGAAAGUGAAACGAGAAGAAUGAGGAAAGAUCUAGACAAAGAAAAGCCAGAAGGCAUCUAUAGCUGAACUGAAAACAUAGCUAGAUGAAGAGCGUGACAAAAGAAGAGAAGAGCGAGAAAAGGCUGCUGCAGAUCUGAAAGCUUCAAUACAAAGGGUUCAGUCCGAGGCUGAAGAAGAAUUAAAACGAGCAUCAGAUGCUGCUUCGAGGCGAGAAAGAGAACAACAAGAAGUUAUCAGUAAACUUCAGGUCUAUACUCCGAGGAAUGCGCCUUAUGGUAGUGAGAAAAUUGAUGUGGUUCGUGAGCAAUGGGAUAAGUUUUUUACCUGCAAGUAUUUAUUAUUGGCCUGAGCGCGUUUGAUCGAGUUGGCUUAGAUGUUAUAGAACAAUCUUUUAUAUUAAAAUGUAUGCGUACGUUGAAAUUGGAACACAUAUAUUUAAAUGUACUACAUGCACUUUGUUUUGGGAUAUAUAAUAUACAAAACACCAGUUAUUGUUUU